GAUGAACGCUAGCUACAGGCUUAACACAUGCAAGUCGAGGGACCGGCGCACGGGUGAGUCACACGUAUCCAACCUGCCCUUUACUCGGGGAUAGCCUUUCGCAAGAAAGAUUAAUACCCGAUGUAAAGGAUGGGGAUGCGUUCCAUUAGGUUGUUGGUGAGGUAACGGCUCACCAAGCCUUCGAUGGAUAGGGGUUCUGAGAGGAAGGUCCCACACAUUGGAACUGAGACACGGUCCAAACUCCUAGGGGAGGCAGCAGUGAGGAAUAUUGGGAAAUGGGCGUUAGCCUGAACCAGCCAAGUAGCGUGAAGGAUGAAGGCUUAUGGGUCGUAAACUUCUUUUAUAUAAGAAUAUGUAUUAUAUGAAUAAGGAUCGGCUAACUCCGUGCCAGCAGCCGCGGUAAUUC
rnacentral:rRNA from 1 species